AUCAAGGGACCUGCUCCAGAAUCUGCAUUUCAAGCCUUAAUUCAAGUUUUCAGAAUUUUUAAUUUGUAGUUAUGAUUUAAUUUUUGAAAGUUUAGUUUCUUGUAAUGCUGUAACCACUCUAUAAAAGGGCAUUGAAUGUGAAUAAUAAAGAUAAGCAGCAUUUUAUUCAAACUUGUCUUAUGAGAUUAGAGGGUUCUCUCUAAUGAGCCGUCGACUAGUGUUCACAAUGGGUCAAGAAAAAGCCGGAACAUGAAUAAAGGUAAAUCAGUUUCCUCGAAAGAUUUCCAAGUACAACAACCUGUGACAAGAUCCUAACCUGUGACAAGAUCCCAUUCAAGGGCACAUAACAAUUUUAUAUAUACUAACAAAAUGAAGAUGAGGAACAAAAGUUUAACAAACUCUAAAGUUGAGGGACAGUUAGUAAAAAUUAGCCCAGAUUAAAUGGUCUAAGUUGUUAGCAUUUUAUUAACACACAACUGCUGUAGUUGCAGGGAUGCUUGAUUCCUUGUGCCUCCUUUUAUUUACUUUGAUGAACUUUGUUCUUAUAUACAGUGUUAAUGUUGGAUUAUAUGUAUGGUAAAUUUAUGUUGGAUAAAUUAUAUAUAUGAAUUAAUAAAUUUAUUUUCUCUCUGAAAUGAUUCAAGAGAAAUCAGCUGUGCUUUUUAAGCAGGUACAUUGACAUAUUCACAUCAAUUUUUUUUAAUAUAAAACUAUUUACCAACUGAGCAAAUUUGUGAUUUCAAAAUAAGGGAACCUCCAAAACAACAAGAGAAAAAGCAGUAAGAAUAGCAACAAUAUGCAGCAUGAGCCAAUAGGAUAUUACCGUCUGAUCACCAAGCUUUUCAACUGAUGUCUCUAACAGCUCAUCUGGGUCAUAUGAGUUUCCAGUUACAAAAGGGCCAAGUGAAGCAAUUAGUUUAUCGGGGCUUCCAAUGUCUUCAAUUGAAGCAUUAGGUUUAUUGGUCAAACGUAUCAAAGGAGACGCAACAACCUGGACUUUCCCCUGCUUUUCAUCCUCAAACUUUACCUCAACCCAAGGCUCUGCACACUUGGGUUGGCAGUAAUUGCCAGAUAAUAUAUUUGCUACGCGUGUUUGCUUCCAAGUUGGUGGGAGGAUGAACUGGUAGGGCUGCACAUUUCCUGCACGAAGAGCAGGGGUGUCUUUAGGAGUGGCUUUGAAAAGCACAAAGGAAGGAUCUGAUGAGGAAGGCGGGAGGUAGGAUCCAACCUCGACCUCUCUAGCUUCUGAAAUGGCAGUUUCUUUUAUCAGAAUGAGGGGAGACAAUGCGAAUCCUUGCAAAAUUUGUCUCCUGAGAGGUAAAUGGUUUCGGUUUUGGUGCCAUAUUGUGGGUGUUGUUGAGGUUUUGAUGGGAGAUUUUGGAGAUGUGGAGGUUGAGAAAACUGGAGAGAUUGGGGUUAGGGAAGCAGUGGCCAUUUCAGACUUUGAGAGAGAGAUGGGGAUUUUGGGAUGGGACUCUCCCGCUCUUC
rnacentral:misc_RNA from 1 species